GCCUCAUUUUAUGCUUGAGUAGUUGAGAUCUCUCUCUCUUUUAUAUUCUUUUAGAACAAGUUGUUUUCUUUAAUCUUUCUUGUCCCAAAUCUAAUCUAUAUAUCUAGCACUCUUUCCAAAAAGUUUAAGAGUGAACUAACAUAAUUGUUUGAAAUUGGAAAAGAUUUAAAGAGAUUUAUACGAGCUAAGAUAUUCUCCAAGUUGUUCCAAACAUGGAGGAGGCAAUCAAAGAUGGAUCACAAAGAAAAAACUUUAUUAGUUCUCACAAAGGCUCCUCAAGAGUACAACACUUUCCCUCUAAAUCAAAGAACCAUGUGUUUCAUCAAGCUGGUGCAAAUGUUGAUGCUGUUGAUAGAUUUAAAAAAGCAGAAGAAUCUCUUAGAACUGUGAUGUACUUGAGUUGCUGGGGUCCUAACUAAAGGUUAAUUAAAUUAUCAUAUAUAUAGCUAAUGUUUUAGUAGUGAUUUUUGAAAAUAUAUGUAGUAGCUGAAUGUUCAUAAAUUAGCUUUGUAAAUAUCAAGUAAAUGUUCCUAUUAUGUGAGUGUUAGAGUGUUUAUAUUUAUGCUUAUAUUAUUUGAUAGUUGUUUAUGAAAAUUUACAGACUGGGAUUGAAUUAAGUUAUGCCUGAAUUGGAUUUAUCAUGAUGAUUUGUGACAUGGGGAAUAUGUAGUUGUCUAUUGUAAAGUAAAAGAGAUAGUGAGAUCAGGUCAUUUAUUUAUUGUGGGAUGGAGGAAGUAAUAUUUAUGUUGAGAAUUUCAAACACAUCUUUAUCCAAAAUAGCAAUUAAUGAUGAUUCAUGAGGUGAUUUGAAAGUAAUGUCGACAGACAAUAAUUGGAAAACACUCAAACCAGUACAGUACUAGCGGUAAUAGUAUAUAAUAAUUGUUGUCAUUUGAUAAAGAGUUCGUUCAUAUUUAAUAUUCCCUUCGUCUCAAAUUGUAUGUUAGAAAAAAAAAUUUGUCCUAAAUUAUAUGUCGUUUUACAAUACCAAUGAAAUAUUUAUGUUACUUUUCCUAUUAUAUCCUUAA